AUGCCCACCGAAGGCGAGCCGCAGCCGGAGGAGGGGACCGGCGUCCUCCCCAAUCCCGAUUGGGUGAUGCUGGGUCGCAUCGGCCGCACGCGCUGCCACAACAGCCUAGGCGCUGCUCGUGUGGCUCUCAACAAGAACAAGACCGCCGCUCUGCUCCACAUGGCCGGCGGCCCCUUCUGCUACGUGUCCUUCACCCUCGCGGCUCCUCGAAAAGGGGUCUCCUACCUCAACCUCCACUGGCCGGAGGGACAAGACGCAGCCAUCCCGCCAGCCUAUCCCUCCGUCCGGGCAGCCGACAAGGAACUCAUCCUCUUCGACAUCUCCACCCCGGCCCAGACUGACAGCUACCUCGUCCCGCCAGAUCUGUUCGUCUACACGGCCGCCGGCUCUUCCCCCUCGGUGCAGCGGCUCCCUCCGUGCACUGAGCGCGGGAAAAAGCCGUUCCUGAUGGAUAACCUUGCCACAGGCAUCCUGCGGCUCAAAGCGGAGGACCGCUACAUCGUCGCCGACCUCAAUGUCUACUCUGAAGAAGCGGGCUUGCGUGCUGAACUCUGCGUCUUCGACUCCUACCUCAAUAAGUGGGAAAUCACCCCCAAGAUCGCUUUCGACGACCACAUCAAUGGCGGCCAGUUCACCAACCUCUGGUCAACCCACCAUGUGUUUGCUUUUGCUGGUCGUUUCCUUUGCUGGAUUGACUACUUCAGCGGUGUCCUGCUAUGUGACUUCUCCAUGACAGACUCACCGGUGCUCCGCUUCGUACCUUUCCCCGGAGAAAAAGAGUACCAUGAUAAGCCAAUGGAUUUAGCUUCCUGA
rnacentral:rRNA from 1 species